rnacentral:tRNA from 1 species
ACCUGCAUAGCUCAGUUGGUAGAGCACAUGACUUUAAGAAGUUAAAGAAACAUUGUGGUCUAAAGGUCGCAGGUUCAACUCCUGCUCCAAACA